rnacentral:rRNA from 1 species
UCCGUGCCAGCAGCCGCGGAAUACGGAGGGUGCGAGCGUUAAUCGGAAUUACUGGGCGUAAAGCGCAUGCAGGUGGUUUGUUAAGUUCAGAUGUGAAAGACCCGGGGCGUCAACCUCCGGAAUAGCAUUUGAAACUAGGCAGACUAGAGUACUGUAGAGGGGGUAGGAAGUUUCAGGUGUAGCGGUGAAAUGCGUAGAGAUCUGAAGGAAUACCGGUGGCGAAGGCGGCCCCCUCGGACAGAUACUGACACUCAGAUGCGAAAGCGUGGGGAGCAAACAGGAUUAGAUACCCUGGUAG